UACGGAGGUGGCAAGCGUUAUCCGGAUUUAUUGGGCGUAAAGGGAACGCAGGCGGUCUUUUAAGUCUGAUGUGAAAGCCUUCGGCUUAACCGGAGUAGUGCAUUGGAAACUGGGAGACUUGAGUGCAGAAGAGGAGAGUGGAACUCCAUGUGUAGCGGUGAAAUGCGUAGAUAUAUGGAAGAACACCAGUGGCGAAAGCGGCUCUCUGGUCUGUAACUGACGCUGAGGUUCGAAAGCGUGGGUAGCAAACAGG
rnacentral:rRNA from 1 species